rnacentral:ncRNA from 1 species
AAAAAUUUUUAUAGUUUUAUAAUUUUAUUUUAAAUUUAUUUUACAUACCAAUUUUAGUAUGAAAUUUUAUUUAUUUUAAUAAUAUAAAUAAUUUUGUAGUAAUUAACUUUAAAUUAUUUAAGAAAUUAAGAUUUAGUAAUUUAUAAAUAAAUAACUAAUUUUGUGCCAGCAGUUGCGGUUAUACAAAAAUUUAAUUAAAAUUUUUCAGUAUUAUUAAAAUAAAUAAAAAUAAAUUAAAAUAAAAAUUAAAUUAUUAAGUGAAAUUUUAAUUUAAUAAAAAUUUAUUUAUUUUUUAUGAUUUAAUAAAUUUAUAUAAAAACUAGGAUUAGAUACCCUAUUAUUAAAAUUUAAAAUUUUAUACUAAAAUAGUAAAUAAUUAUUUAUUGAAACUUAAAUAAUUUGGCGGUAUUUUAGUUCAUUUAGAGGAAUCUGUUUAAUAAUUGAUAAUCCCCGAUUAAAUUUACUUAAUUUAAAAUUUUAUAUAUCGUUGUUAAAAAAAUAUUUUUAAAUAAUAAAAAUAUUUUAAAAUUAAAAAUAAAAAUUAAUUCAGAUCAAGAUGUAGAUUAUAAUUAAGAAUAUAAUGGAUUACAAUAAAUUUAUUUAAAUGGAUUUUUUUUUUUUAAUAUAAAAAUGAAGGUGGAUUUAAAUGUAAUUUUAUUUAAUAUAAUAAAAUGAUUAAAAAUUAAAAUAUGUACAUAUUGCCCGUCGCUUUCAUUUUAAAAUUGGAAUAAGUCGUAACAAAGUAGAAGUACUGGAAAGUGUUUCUAGAAU